UAUAUCGUGGCCUUCAAGCCAGAGGGGCGUAUAAGCAAUACCCCUACUUUUCAGGAGACAAAAAAAACUUAAUAAGUUUUUUUGCAAUGUAUCUCUUUAUCUGAAAAUGUACAUGUGUCUACUAAAGUACUUUCUUAAUAACGUGAAAUGAUUAUUUUCUUUAAAACGCUUUUAUCGGAUGGACGUAAAAUACAAAAGCUUUUUACGCAAUGAAAUAUUUAAAAAAACAUCUGAACUUAGUUCAAGUAUCGUGAAAUAUCAUAAAUAAAUAUUUUUUAUAUAA